AGGUUAACCACUCAUUUAUUGUGAUAAGUUUGGGUUUUUUUGGAAAGGUGUUUGCUUGGCUUGAGCAUAGGUGGUUUUGAUGUAGAUCAUCAAUCUCCAACUCCUUAAAGAUCACAAGCUUCAUCCCAUCAAGAAACUAGCUUAUCGCGGUAAAUGCAGUGUUUUAAGGACUCCAUGGGCUAUUAAAUAGUUGUUUUGAACAACCACAUUUAUUUUGGAAGUAUUGUACUUUGUUUAUAAUAUUGUCAUAGUUUGGGUGGUUGUUUUUUUUUAGUAUGGGCUAUCACAUAGUUGUUUUGAACAACCACAUUUAUUUUGGAAGUAUUGUACUUUGUUUAUAAUAUUGUCAUAAUUUGGGUGGUUUUUUUUUUUUUUUUUUUUUUUUUUUUUUUUUUUUUUUGUGUGUGUAGAUAGACAAGUGUUUUGUUAAAUUCAAGAUGAUACUUUAGACA